rnacentral:tRNA from 1 species
GGAUUGUGGCUCAGUGGUAGCACAUUCACCUAGCACAUGAGAGGCCCUGGGUUCAAUCCUCAGCACCA